rnacentral:lncRNA from 1 species
AGGGAUUAGAAUUUGGAUUAGGGUUUGAUUUAGGAUUUAGGAUUUGGAUAGGAUUUGAUUUAAGAUAUAGGAUUUUGUUAGGGUUUGGUUUAAGGUUUAGGGUUUCAAUUAGGAUUUGGUUUAGGAUUUGAUUAGGGUUUGAUUUAGGGUUUAGGAUUUAAGGUUUGGAUUAGGAUUUGGAUUAGGAUUUGGAUUAGGAUUUGAUUUAGGGUUUAAGAUUUGGAUGGGAUUUGAUUUAGGAUUUAAGAUUUGAUUAGGGUUUAGUUUAAGAUUUUAUUAGGAUUUUUUUAGGAUUUAAGAUUUAAUUAAUUUGGGCCUAAAGUUUGAAUGAAGUCCAAUAGGAUUUUAACUAGGAUUAAAUUAAGAUUGAAUUGAAAUAUAUUUGAGAGAUAUUUGUGAUUAUUAUUAUUAUAUUUUUUUAAGAUUUUUUAUUAUUUUUUGGAAAUUUCUUUGAGGUUUCUUUGAAUUUGAUUAAGCUUGUUUAAUAUUAUUGUGGUCCAAUUAGAGUAUUAUUAGUAUUAUAUUAGAAUUAGGAUUUUGUUAUUGUAAUUUCUAUUCUUCCUUCUACAGGUAGGUGCCCGGAGCAUUCUUAAGUAAGACUAAGCCCUAAACCCUAAAUC